UGGGGAAUAUUGGACAAUGGGCGCAAGCCUGAUCCAGCAAUGCCGCGUGUGUGAAGAAGGCCUGCGGGUUGUAAAGCACUUUAAGCCGGAAAGAAGGGCAGAGUGAUAACACCGCUCUGCAUUGACGUUACCGGCAGAAUAAGCACCGGCUAACUCCGUGCCAGCAGCCGCGGUAAUACGGAGGGUGCAAGCGUUAAUCGGAAUUACUGGGCGUAAAGCGCGCGUAGGCGGUUCACUCAGUCUGCUGUGAAAGCCCCGGGCUUAACCUGGGAACGGCAGUGGAUACUGGUGGGCUAGAGUAUGGUAGAGGGGAGUGGAAUUUCCGGUGUAGCAGUGAAAUGCGUAGAGAUCGGAAGGAACACCAGUGGCGAAGGCGGCUCUCUGGACCAAUACUGACGCUGAGGUGCGAAAGCGUGGGGAGCAAACA
rnacentral:rRNA from 1 species